UGACCACAUUCAGCAAGGAGGGAAGAGGAUGGAAAGGGGGCACAUAGUAACUCGUUCGGCCCGUGAAUGCCCCCCUUGGUGCCGGCUCUGCUCUCUGGAGAAGUGAUCAGUCUUUGUUCUUGUAAGGCUUGUUCGCGGCUUGCUCUGGGACACAUUGCAAGACAUGACGGUGUGUGGAGAUCUGAAGUAGUGGAUCCAGCUGUUAUUAACACCUCUACUGGACUGCAGCUUCCACUCCUGUUGGAGAUGCAGAUGUGAUGGAGGCCAAGUGGAAAAGCAUGGUCAGCAAUGAAUGAUAGUGGAAUACUGCAGGUCACCAAAGGCUCUACGAGAACGCAGCACUGUCUUGUCUUCCUCUACACCUGCUUCCCGUUCCAGAUCCCUCCAGAGGAUCAACAAGAUGAAGCUGCUGGCGUGUAUCAAGCACAGCAUUCACUAUUUAACAUGUUAACAACACAUUAGUGUGAUACCCACACUGAAAGAUUGUUCAAUGUUUUUAAAUGGGUCAGAUGGUAUAUUUUUG